GAUGAACGCUGGCGGCGUGCCUAAUACAUGCAAGUCGAGCGAAGCGGGGACGGUUGAGUAACACGUAGAUACCCUCCUUUAACACUAGGAUAACUUCGGGAAACCUUAGCUAAACCCGAUACUUGUAUCUGGAUGCUCGGUGCAUUAGCGAGUUGGUAAGGUAACGGCUUCCCAAGGCAACGAUGCAUAGCCGACCUGAGAGGGUGAUCGGCCACACUGGAACGGAGACACGGCCCAGACUCCUACGGGAGGCAGAAGUAGGGAAUAGUCCGCAAUGGGCGAAAGCCUGACGGAGCAACGCCGCGUGAGUGAAGAAGGUUUUCGGAUCGUAAAACUCUGUUAUUAGGGAAGCGGUACCUAAUCAGAAAGCCACGGCUAACUACGUGCCAGCAGCCGCAGUAAUAC
rnacentral:rRNA from 1 species